rnacentral:hammerhead_ribozyme from 1 species
AUCUAGCUGACGAGUCCCAUAUAGAACGAAACAUAGGUCUUGGAU